rnacentral:rRNA from 1 species
UACGUAGGGGGCGAGCGUUGUCCGGAUUUAUUAGGCGUAAAGAGCGUGUAGGCGGCCAGGUAGGUCUGCUGUGAAAACUCGAGGCUCAACCUCGAGACGUCGGCGGAAACCAUCUGGCUAGAGUCCGGAAGAGGAGAGUGGAAUUCCUGGUGUAGCGGUGAAAUGCGCAGAUAUCAGGAAGAACACCCGUGGCUAAGGCGGCUCUCUAGUACGGUACUGACGCUGAGACGCGAAAGCGUGGGGAGCGAACAGG